CAGCCCCUCGAGUGGUGGGGAUGAUUAUUUGGCCUAAAGCGUCCGUAGCCGGUUUGGUAAAUCUCUCGUUAAAUCCAACGUCCUAAGCGUUGGGCUGCGAGGGAGACUGCCAAGCUAGAGGGUGGGAGAGGUCAGCGGUAUUCCUGGGGUAGGGGCGAAAUCCUUUGAUCCCAGGAGGACCACCAGUGGCGAAGGCUGCUGACUAGAACACGCCUGACGGUGAGGGACGAAAGCUGGGGUAGCGAAUCGGAUUAGAUACCCGAGUAGUCC
rnacentral:rRNA from 1 species